rnacentral:lncRNA from 1 species
UCAGUUUUCUGAUCCCCAGACUGUACUGGCCAUGUACCCAAGUAUCAACACUCCAGGGGGUUCUGGGCUGUGCUGGUGCUGAUGGAUGGAGAGAAGUCAGCAAAGCAGACCUUCAUUCUGAGGCUGUACUGAAAUCCAGCGGUUGAGUGCCCCCUGGUCCUGUUCUCCACAACCAAGACAGACCCACAUAGGGGAGAGAAAAGAUGAAACUCAAGCCUUGAGGCCAGAUGACUUGCACUAGAGAAAACAAGCAGGUUGAGGACCUCUACAGACUUGGCCCUGAGCGCAGAAGCUGUGAAGCCAGGUAAGGUGGAAAAAGGAGGUAAACUUCAAAGAGCCAAGAGGCUUUGGCAAUCUCCAUUCUGCUGGCACAUAAAAACCUCAGAAUCCAGCCCAGCCAAAGGCCUGGAAAGGAAGCACAAAAGAAUGAAAACUAACGGGAGCCUCGGUCAAGGUGUGAGUGUAAGGGUCAUUGAUCCUGGGUAGCACUCCCUGCCUUUAUUUCUUGAUGCUCACUCUUCUGAGGUUUAACCUUACA